UACGUAGGGUGCUAGCGUUGUCCGGAUUUAUUGGGCGUAAAGGGCUCGUAGGCGGCGUGUCGCGUCGGGAGUGAAAGCCCGCUGCUUAACGGCGGGUUGGCUUCCGGUACGGGCAUCGCUGGAGUGCGGCAGGGGAGACUGGAAUUCCCGGUGUAGCGGUGAAAUGCGUAGAGAUCGGGAGGAACACCAGUGGCGAAGGCGGCCAUCUGGAUCAACACUGACGCUGAGGCACGAAAGCGUGGGGAGCAAACAGG
rnacentral:rRNA from 1 species